AUGACCAAGACCGAGGUGUUCCCUAUUCGCUGCCAGCAGAUUGACCUCGCCCACAUUUUAUCGGGAUUCCCUGUGAAGAUCGCUGCAUUCCCAACUAAGUACUUGGGCCUUCCCCUGCAUACCUCAAGGCUCAAGCGGGUUCAUCUGCAACCUCUCAUAGACAAAGCAAUGGGCAAGCUUCCGGGAUGGAAGGGAAAGAACCUUGCGAGGCCGGGAAGGGUCUCCUUGGCAAAGUCUGUGCUAUGCGCCAUGGCCACACAUCACCUCACUGCGCUCCCUCUUCCGGCGUGGGCCAACCAUAAGCUUAGCAAAAUCUCUCGCAACUUCAUAUGGCAAGGCGACAAUUCCGAGAAUGCGACCGGAGGGCACUCCCUGGUAAACUGGAAGACGGUGUGCAGACCAAAGGCCCUAGGUGGGCUGGGAAUCACAGACCUAGAGAGAUUUGGCCGGGCUCUCCGCUUACGCUGGCCAUGGCUAAUGUGGACCGACCCUGACCGUCAGUGGGUGGGCUCCGCCCUACCCUACGACGACUCGGAUAUGGCGCUAUUCAGAGCUUCGACCUCCAUCGUGCUGGGUAACGGCCACAAAGCUCUGUUCUGGCAUGAUGACUGGACCGGAAAGGGUCCCCUAAGGAUGCUGGCUCCCGGAUUAUACAAAAUCGCCACAAGAAAGCAGAGAACAGUGUCCAAGGAGCUGCACGAGGAUAACUGGGUCAGAUCGGUCGCCCACCUUCAGUCCCCCAUACACCUGCAGGAAUUCAUCUCGAUAGCAUCUCUGACCUCCUAG
rnacentral:rRNA from 1 species